rnacentral:misc_RNA from 1 species
GAUGAAGAACGCAGCGAAAUGCGAUAAGUAAUGUGAAUUGCAGAAUUCAGUGAAUCAUCGAAUCUUUGAACGCACAUUGCGCCCGCCAGCACUCUGGCGGGCAUGUCUGUCCGAGCGUCAUUUCAACCCUCAGGGCCCCUUCGGGGGACCUGGCGUUGGGGAUCGGCCCGCCCCCGUGCGGCGCCGUCCCCGAAAUAUAGUGGCGGUCUCGCUGCAGCCUCCCCUGCGUAGUAGCACACCUCGCACUGGAGAGCGGCGCGGCCACGCCGUGAAACCCCCAACUUCUGAAUGUUGACCUCGGAUCAGGUAGGAAUACCCGCUGAACUUAAGCAUAUCAAUAAGCGGAGGA